rnacentral:rRNA from 1 species
GACGAACGCUGGCGGCGUGCUUAACACAUGCAAGUCGAGCGGUAAGGCCCUUUCGGGGGUACGACGAGCGGCGAACGGGUGAGUAACACGUGGGUGACCUGCCCUUAGCUCUGGGAUAAGCCUGGGAAACGUGGGUCUAAUACCGGAUAUGACUCCAUGACGCAUGUUGUGGGGUGGAAAGCCUUGUGCGGCUAGGGAUGGGCCCGCGGCCUAUCAGCUUGUUGGUGGGGUGAUGGCCUACCAAGGCGACGACGGGUAGCCGGCCUGAGAGGGCGACCGGCCACACUGGGACUGAGACACGGCCCAGACUCCUACGGGAGGCAGCAGUGGGGAAUCUUGCGCAAUGGGCGAAAGCCUGACGCAGCGACGCCGCGUGAGGGAUGACGGCCUCGGUUGUAA